UACGAAGGGGGCUAGCGUUGCUCGGAAUUACUGGGCGUAAAGCGCACGUAGGCGGCUCUUUAAGUCGGGGGUGAAAUCCUGGAGCUCAACUCCAGAACUGCCUUCGAUACUGUAGAGCUUGAGUUCGGGAGAGGUGAGUGGAACUGCGAGUGUAGAGGUGAAAUUCGUAGAUAUUCGGAAGAACACCAGUGGCGAAGGCGGCUCACUGGCCCGGUACUGACGCUCAUGUGCGAAAGCGUGGGGAGCAAACAGG
rnacentral:rRNA from 1 species